GAUCCUGGCUUAGGACGAACGCUGGCGGCGUGCUUAACACAUGCAAGUUGAACGGUAUGACAUGGAAGCUUGCUGAAGUGUCAUAUAGUAGCGGACGGGUGAGUAAUGCAUGAGAAGCUGCCAUUGGGAGGGGGACAACAGUUGGAAACGGCUGCUAAUACCCCGUAUGCCGGAAGGUGAAAGGGAGCGAUCCGCCCGAUGAGGUGCUCAUGUCCUAUCAGCUGGUUGGUGGGGUAACGGCCUACCAAGGCGACGACGGGUAGCCGGCCUGAGAGGGUGAACGGCCACACUGGAACUGAGAUACGGUCCAGACUCCUACGGGAGGCAGCAGUGGGGAAUAUUGGGGCCAAUGGGGGCAACCCUGACCCAGCGACGCCGCGUGGGGGAAGACGGCCUUCGGGUUGUAAACCUCUUUUGUACGGGAAGAAGGAAGUGACGGUACUGUACGAAUAAGUCCCGGCUAACUACGUGCCAGCCGCUGC
rnacentral:rRNA from 1 species